CCUACGGGAGGCAGCAGUAGGGAAUCUUCGGCAAUGGGCGAAAGCCUGACCGAGCAACGCCGCGUGAGCGAUGAAGGCCUUCGGGUCGUAAAGCUCUGUUGUUAGAGAAGAACAAGUACGGAGAGUAAUCUGCUCGUACCUUGACGGUACCUAACCAGAAAGCCACGGCUAACUACGUGCCAGCAGCCGCGGUAAUACGUAGGUGGCAAGCGUUAUCCGGAAUUAUUGGGCGUAAAGCGCGCGCAGGCGGUCUCUUAAGUCUGAUGUGAAAGCCCACGGCUCAACCGUGGAGGGUCAUUGGAAACUGGGAGACUUGAGUGCAGGAGAGAAAAGUGGAAUUCCACGUGUAGCGGUGAAAUGCGUAGAGAUGUGGAGGAACACCAGUGGCGAAGGCGGCUUUUUGGCCUGUAACUGACGCUGAGGCGCGAAAGCGUGGGGAGCAAACAGGAUUAGAUACCCUGGUAGUCCACGCCGUAAACGAUGAGUGCUAGGUGUUGGGGGGUUCCACCCUCAGUGCUGAAGUUAACACAUUAAGCACUCCGCCUGGGGGAGUACGACCGCAAGGUUGAAACUCAAAGGAAUUGACGGGGGGCCCGCACAAGCAGUGGAGCAUGUGGUUAUAAUUCGAAGCAACGCGAAGAACCUUAC
rnacentral:rRNA from 1 species